AAUGAACGCUGGCGGCGUGCUUAACACAUGCAAGUCGAACGAGGCGGAGGGGGGCAACCCCUCCAGUCGAGUGGCGGACGGGUGAGUAACACGUGGGUAACCUGCCCGGAAGUGGGAACGACCUCGGGGAAACGUCGAGCUAAUACCGCAUGACAUCUUCGGGACGAAAGUCCUGACGAUCAAAGCGGGGCCGCAAGGCCUCGCGCUUCCGGAUGGGCCCGCGCCCGAUUAGCUAGUUGGCGAGGAACGGCUCACCAAGGCUUCGAUCGGUAACCGGCCUGAGAGGGCGAUCGGUCACACCGGAACUGAGACACGGUCCGGACUCCUACGGGAGGCAGCAGUGGGGAAUCUUGCGCAAUGGGCGAAAGCCUGACGCAGCAACGCCGCGUGGAGGAUGAA
rnacentral:rRNA from 1 species